rnacentral:rRNA from 1 species
CUACCCUUGACAUGUGCCGAAGCCCGGUGAGAGCUGGGUGUGCCUGAAAGGGAACGGCAACACAGGUGCUGCAUGGCUGUCGUCAGCUCGUGUCGUGAGAUGUUGGGUUAAGUCCCGCAACGAGCGCAACCCUUGUCCCUAGUUGCUACGCAAGGGCACUCUAGGGAGACUGCCGGUGACAAACCGGAGGAAGGUGGGGAUGACGUCAAGUCCUCAUGGCCCUUAUGGGCUGGGCUACACACGUGCUACAAUGGUGGUGACAGAGGGCAGCUAGACCGCGAGGUCAUGCUAAUCCCAAAAAGCCAUCUCAGUUCGGAUUGCACUCUGCAACUCGGGUGCA